rnacentral:rRNA from 1 species
GACGUAGGGGGCAAGCGUUGUUCGGAAUUACUGGGCGUAAAGCGCACGUAGGCGGCUUUGUAAGUUAGAGGUGAAAGCCUGGAGCUCAACUCCAGAACUGCCUUUAAGACUGCAUCGCUUGAAUCCAGGAGAGGUGAGUGGAAUUCCGAGUGUAGAGGUGAAAUUCGUAGAUAUUCGGAAGAACACCAGUGGCGAAGGCGGCUCACUGGACUGGUAUUGACGCUGAGGUGCGAAAGCGUGGGGAGCAAACAGG